CCGGGCCCGCCGGCGUCUGUGGGGAACUGGGGCGCUGGUCGGUGCGCGGGCUGGGACGCUAAGUCAUGAGGAAUUAAACUGGGAAACCUGGCGUGGGUCCAGGCGCCUUCCAGGAGGCAUCCGGCGCGGCCCGGACGUGCUUCUACCCAGAACCACCCCCUCCAGGCCGGGGUGCACUUAACGGGGCUAUACAAAGAGUCUGACACUGUUAUUGCCCAUCUGAACUCGUCAACUGAGAAGGAAAGAGAUGGUUUAUGCUGUGAAUAAAAUACAGUUGUGCUGUGAUGUAAAUCCCCUCAUCCUGGAGCAGCUGAGCAAGGUCUAAGGCAGGAAGAACCUUCAAGCAGGUCAUGGCUGGUCCAGAGGAAAAAAAAUGCAGAACUCCUCAUUGAAAAAUUACUAAGAAUUUCAAGAUGGUGGCAACAGAGCAUUAAACCAACCACAGGGUCUUUCUAACAUGGAGAACUAAGUGACUACACAGGCUACAUGUCCACGAAGCCAGACAGUCUCUGAAGUGCAGGCUCAACUCUGCCUGGCAGUGGCAAGGGCCAGGGCCAGUGACUGAAGCAACAAACUGCCAGAUGACUGCAGCUCAAGCCAAUGCACAAAGCCACUGCAACAAGAGAGGAAAUUCUUCCAUUUCCAAGUGUGUCGAUUUCUCCCCAUCAAGGAAAACAGCUAAGGCAAUGUGUUGAUAUUUUCUUUGACCAAGUCAUCAGGAGUCACAUAGACAUACAGCACUCAAGAAGUGGCUGUAACUAAAGGCACAUCUCGUUCAUCUACAACCCUUGUAAUCCCAACCUUUGUCUGAUGCACAAACCCUUCCCUAGUUCUCCCCACCACCACCACUGCACCUCCAAGUGGGGACAACGAAUUGUUUCAUUUGCAUGUGGUUUUUCUCAUGAAAAAUAUCAUUAACAUGAGACAGCCCCAAACCAAGGAAACCAGAAGUGGGGUUUGUGCUUGGUCUUACUGAGAGCUUUCCCUACUUGACCAGACCCCAGCAUUGUUCUAGAUUUGUCUCUUGUGGGCUACAGGAAUGCAAACAUUUUGUAGUUUCCUCUUUUUUGUUUUCUUAAUGGCUUGAUGAGCCACACAUGUUUCUCUAAAUGCAUGAUUUUAAAUUCACACAAUUUCUGCCAACUAAACUUAAUGCAUUCUCCUCCUCUUCUAAUCAAUAAGGGCUAUCAGAAUGUUUUGGGUGAAGAUGAGCGGAAGGUAAGAAAUUACAUACUGUGGGCCAGGUUUGGUGACUCACAUCUGUAACCCCAGCACUUUGAGAGACCAAGGCAUGCAGAUCGCUUGAGGCCAGGAGUUCAAGACCAGCCUGGCCAACAUGGCGAAAUCCUAUCUGUACUAAAAAUACAAAAAUUACCCAGGCGUGAUGGCUCAUGCCUGUAGUCCCAGCCACUCAGGAGGCUAAGGCAAGAGAAUCACCUGAACCCAGGAAGUGGAGUUUGCAGUGAGCUGAGAUCACGCCACUGGACUCCAGCCUGGGCAACAGAGUGAGACUCUGUCUCAAAAAAAAAAAAAAAUUACAUACUGUCGAGUAUGACCUAAAAACAUAGAGAGACUAUAUUUCAAUAGUAUGACAGGAUUAUGUUAGCUGCUAAUAACAGAACCCAAAAUAACAAUAGAUUAAAUAAAAGAUUAGUAUCCCAGGUAAAAGUCUAGAGGUAGGAAUUCUAGGACUAAGUGAAGGUUCUGCUCAGUGAAGUCCUCAGGGACACAGGCACCUUCAGCUCAUAACUCUAUCAUCCCUGGAGGGUACUUAAGGGUCCAGGAUGGCAGCCAAAAGUCGUACCUACGUUUUAAACAGCAGGGUGCUGGAAGGCAUAAAGAAAAAGCCAGAGGCACACGCCUGUUCUCACUUAAGGAAAAUUCCUGGAAACUGCCACAAUACACCUUCGCUUACAUCCCAUUGAUCAAAACGUGGAUGCAAAGCCACACCUUACUGUGGGGUACAGGGAAAAAAAACUUUUUUUGACAAUCAUGAGUUCAUUAACAGAAUUCAGGGAUCUCUUAAUACAGAAGCAAGGGAGAACAGCUGUUGGGGGACCACCGGAAGUCUCUGCUCUAAAGAACAAUGUAAAUACCUGGUGGUAGACUAACACUGAUGGCCUACAAUGAAUCACACCUACUGACAUUCAUGCCUUUGUGCAGAGUUCCACACUGAUGCUGGGCUUGGCCUUGUGACUUGUUUGGCCAAUAGGAUCUCAGCAAGCACCUUGAUAAGUGCUUGUGCAUUAGGGCUUGCUGUCCUGAAAUCCAGGUGCCAUGUAAGAAGUGUGGGUUAGUCCCUAUGAAGAUGACAGACCACAUGGAGAAAGAGGCUGAGCCUAUACCCACCCACCUACCAGAGAAGAUCAGCAGAAGAACCAGUGAAUCAUUAUUGCUUUAGUCAUUAAUUUGGGGGCAAUUUGUUAUACAGCGAUAGAUAAGUGGUACAGUACAUAGACAAAUUUCUGCAGUUCAUCGAGCAUUAGCACCAAAUAAGUAUACAACAGUGUUUGGAGCACUAAAGAGAGUAUAAAAUAUUGCUUAAAAUUGUUUCCUUGGCCUCAUGAAACAGAAAUCGGCUCUGAUUAGCAACCAAAAAAUGAGAAUUUAUUGGAAGA
rnacentral:lncRNA from 10 species